AACGAACGCUGGCGGCAGGCCUAACACAUGCAAGUCGAGCGCCCCGCAAGGGGAGCGGCGGACGGGUGAGUAACGCGUGGGAAUUUUCCUCAAGGUACGGAACAACCCAGGGAAACUUGGGCUAAUACCGUAUGAUGCAGAGAUGCCAAAGAUUUAUCGCCUUGGGAUAAGCCCGCGUCAGAUUAGGUAGUUGGUGGGGUAACGGCCUACCAAGCCUGCGAUCUGUAGCUGGUCUGAGAGGACGAUCAGCCACACUGGGACUGAGACACGGCCCAGACUCCUACGGGAGGCAGCAGUGGGGAAUCUUGCGCAAUGGGCGAAAGCCUGACGCAGCCAUGCCGCGUGAGUGAUGUAGGUCUUAGGAUUGUAAAGCUCUUUCGCCCGUGACGAUGAUGACGGUAACGGGAGAAGAAGCCCCGGCUAACUUCGUGCCAGCAGCCGCGGUAAUACGAAGGGGGCUAGCGUUGUUCGGAAUUACUGGGCGUAAAGCGCGCGUA
rnacentral:rRNA from 1 species